ensembl:lncRNA
GAGCGAGUGUGUUGGUGUGUGUGCAUGGCAGGAUUGGAUGUGUUAAGUAUGUGACUAGAAUGUGUUCACACUAUACAUCGGCAUCGCUUGGUGAAACAUCGGAAGCCAUUCACUUUCAAUGGAAGGAAAGUAAGAGAAGAGAAGUGGAGUGGGUGGGGAACCGUUGAGCGAUGCGAGGAUGGGCGAGGGAGCUGAACAAGGCCCACCGCUCCUCUCUGUGUCGUUGAUGGCCAUCCGGCGUACACGGUGAGACACCUGAGUUCGACCACGGGGCAGGGGUCUCCAGUACCUGGUUGACUGGGAGGGUUAUGGCCCGGCGGAGAGGUGCUGGAUCCCCGCUAGAGACAUCCUAGACGACUUCCACCGCCUGCACACUGGUCUAUCAGGUGUGUGCCCAGGUAGGACGCCAGGUGGCACCCCUAGAGGGGGCUACUGUCACACCCUGAUCUGUUUCACCUGUCUUUGUGAUUGUCUCCAUCCCCCUCCAGGUGUCGCCCAUCGUUCUGUCUUUUGCCAGUUGGUCUUGUUUGCCCUGUCAGCUCCUGUCUUUUCCCAGCCUCUCUUUUUCUCACCCUCCUGGUUUUUGACCCUUGCCUCUCCUGACCCUGACCCCGCCCACCUGACCACUCUGCCUGCCCCUGAGCCUGCCUACCGUCCUGUACCUUUGCCCCUAUCUGGAUUUCCGACCUCUGUCUCAUCUAAGCCUGCCUGAAGUCCUGUACCUUUGCCUCUGUUGCUGUAAUAAACAUUGUUACUUCGACAAGGUCUGCAUCUGGGUCUUACCUUAUCCUAAUAAAGGCGAGAUUGAACGUUCCUGAGUGGCCUAGUUAGUUUUGACGUAAAUCAGAUUGAAAAUCUAUUGCAAGACUUGAAAAUGGC